UACAGAGGGGCAAGCGUUGUUCGGAAUUACUGGGCGUAAAGGGCGCGUAGGCGGCCUGCUAAGUCGAACGUGAAAUCCCCGGGCUCAACCCGGGAACUGCGUCCGAUACUGGCAGGCUUGAAUUCGGGAGAGGGAUGCGGAAUUCCAGGUGUAGCGGUGAAAUGCGUAGAUAUCUGGAGGAACACCGGUGGCGAAGGCGGCAUCCUGGACCGAAAUUGACGCUGAGGCGCGAAAGCCAGGGGAGCAAACGGGG
rnacentral:rRNA from 1 species